AUGUAUGUAGUUUAACUAAAACAUUAAGCUGUGGACCUGAAAUUAUGGACUUACCUCCAUCAUACAUC
rnacentral:tRNA from 1 species